UGGAUUCCAUGAUGCUUACAUACCUACAUUGUUUGAUAACCUGAUAUCAAAACUUUACUGAGAAUCCU